UUUAUACCAUUUGGCCCUACCCGAGUACACUGCUCUCCAAAAAAAACCCUAGAAUAAGUGCAUUGCGUAAUUCGCGUUCUUUCCAUUAUUACUACCCCUAGACACAAUGUUUAUAUAUACUCUCAUACUUCCCUCAGUUCUCAUCAGCCAGCAGUCUACCUCGGCAGCAGUGGCCGAGCUGCUCCUCUCCAAGAAGAUCGUGAAACAGAGAUCAAGAAAUUCUAGUCACCAUUCAAUGAUCAACAGAUUAUUGUAAUUGUAUGAUUUUUCUUCAAUGUUUUGCUUAUGAUUAUCGAAUUUGCUUUUACAAGGAUGUGAUGAUAGUAUUGUCGCCCCAGUCUUACUUUGCACCAAAGUCAUGUAUAAUCACAUAUUGCUCCAAGUUAUGAUGCAGCUGUCCACUUAUUCUUUACACCAAAAUUGCUUUUUUUUCUUUUAACAAGUAGUAAAUGAUACCAAGGAGUGUAUCAUUUGUUAGUUACUCACUUUGACUCUUUCUAGAUGAUAUUAUAAUGGUAAUGAGAAUAUUAUUGAGAGAAGUUAAUCACUCGUAUUAAAACAAGAUUUCAUCCUUGGAUCGGACUUACCCACAACCUCAUACGUUGGAUGUUUGGGAUGAUCUAAUCCUUGAUAAUUUCAAUCCACUUCAGUUGGCUACCUUCAGUGGUCAGAGUGAUCCUGAAGAGCAUUUCAUAAUGGUUAACAUGGAGGUGAUUGUCUAAGAAAAUGGUACAUCAUUCUUUCAACAACCACAGAAAAAUGUUCCCACAAGUAUUUUCAAUGUUUGAUAGGGACAGUCAAAAGCUUAUUAUUGUAGAAGCAUUAGAUUUUUUGUUUAUUUUCAAUGAUACUGUCAAAUAGAGUUACAAGUAUUCUUCAUUGACUGUCAGUUUCUUAUUAAUUUUUCAGAGUUACUCUCUUCUCUUUUAA